UCAAAAGAAAAGAAAGAAAGCGGCAUGAACGGAGUGAACAGAAAAUCUUUUUCAAGUGAAUAUUCCUUUCCAGUGUAAAAAACGACAAUUUUUUCAAAUUCUCAUUUAACAGAUUAACUGAGUUUGAAGGGACCUUGUAGGUCUUCUAGUCCAAAGCUACCACCACCACUAGGCUGUCCAAGCAGGAGAUCCUACAUCAUUUCUAACAAAUGGCAGGUCAGUUUCUUCUUGAAAGCUGCCAGUGGUCAAGUUCCCCCAAUUUCUGAAGGUAUGCCUGAUCCAGGAAGUAAGAAAGCAGAGUUCUCUAUCUCACAACUGUCUUAAGAUGUCCUGGAUUCAAGACUUGAGCACCACACAAUGGGAUGAGUUCCACAUUUCUAGACCCUGCUCCUGUCCACCUAGCAGUUUGAAAACAUGAAAAUGUGAGUAGAUAAAAUAGGUACCACUUUGGUGAGAAGGUAAGUAUUCCAUGCUAGCUACAUGACCGCAGAAAAUGUCUUUGGACAAUGCUGUCUCCCUCCACCAAGACAUGGAGAGGAGCCUAGGCCCUAGAGUCAGACAUAACUAGAUACAGAAACUAUUAAAAAUAUUGUUUUAAUGUCAUGACUUCCAAUGGAAAUUUACCUUCAUUUCUUGUUUGGAUAUUGCAGUUGACUAGGGAUAAUAUAGUUUGCAGAUUGGGAAAAACUGUGGCAGAAGAAAACAUUCUAUAUUUCUGCUCCUAGGAAUCUGACUGUCCACAAAAUUAAUCAUAACUUAAUGUGAAAAUGAAAUUACUACCCUAUCAAAAUGAUCUUCAUUAACAAUAUUUUAGCAUUUCCUUCCCAAAUACUACUUGCAUUAAGCUGUUUCCUGAAUUAGUCAUUUUAAAUAUGAAAUCUCUUACUAUGAUUAGGAAAAACUUGCAACACAUGCCUUCUGUUACAAAAUAGGUCAAUACAGAGAGAAGAUAAUGCUACAUUAUUAUUUUGUUUAUAUAAACAAAUCACUACAGUGGGAGCAAUAUCUCUCAAUAUUAUCUCAAUUUCUUUGAGACAUGGGAAUCAAAUUUAAGAAUUGAUGUCUCAGAUACACUUUGGACGAACUCCCAUUAUGAUCGCUAUCGGCAAAUAUCAGGAAAAUUAUUUAAAGUAAUGAUAUGCAUUUAUCAAUAUCUGAUUCAUUAUACCCCAUUUAAGUUGAUAAAAUUACUGGGAAAGGCCUAUAUAUAUAUAUUAAAAAACUUAAUAAAGGUAGAAGAUAUGAUUACUGUUAUUAUUUAGUGAAAUAAUUCAAAGAACUGAAAAUAUAACUGUGAUUCAUGAUUGUUGCUACAAGAUUGGUUGUAGCACAGUAUUGUGAAAAUUCAGAAGCUCCAUCAUUAGAUGUCUAGUAGAAAGCAUUAUGGAAGUGUUCUAAUGAAAAAAUAAAACAUAUAAAAGAUGGAAGGUAUUGGGAUAUAUUAGAAAAGUUGCCUUUGCUUCUAUUAGAGAAAAAAGGAAUCCUUUUUUCAAAGCAAACUAAGCCAAAUGCUAAAACUAAAUAAGCUAGGAAAUGUGUUUUGCAAUCUUCUCAUUUAGAUGAACUUGGAGGAUAAUAUAAACCACACUAACAUGAUUUUUCAGAUAUUUAAAUCUGGAUAUCACUCCAGAAAGCAGGCCCUGAAGCAAAGCAGCCACAACACUUGGGUCCUAUGAAAUGACUCUGCUUGAUUGAUGGGACCUGAAGCAACCCCCUCAGCCACAUCUUGCCAGAUGCAGAGAAACAACCAGACAGAGGUGAUCCCUUGAAUAAUUACGGCUAUGUCAUGAGGCGCAUGUUUUCCUGUACCAUCUGGAUAUUGGAAACUGCAAGUUUCUGUUCUAUUCCGAUUUCCUUUUUCUCUGCACUCCAGCAACUAUAUUGAAGGAUUCCUCAAAACCUUUUUUUAAAAUCUCCAAUCCUGUCCACUAUCCAUGGGAUGCCACUGGAGUCAGUCAUUAGGAGUUUUGAGGGCUUAGCAUCAUCAGCAUUAUGCAAAAUUAGAUUCAGCUUUAUUUCUGCAUAACUUCUGACUCGGGAAAGGCUGUGCCUAUCUAAAUACAACAAUGGGAUAGAUAAAUCCUGAUAAGCAGAGGCUUUGUUGGGAGUACGGUUUCUGGGUAUAGGUAUUUUCACUGUUCCUGGAUUCAUUGCUGUAAUAGGAGCCUCAAUAACCUCUGUGACCACCUAUAGUGGCAAAAUACCUUAUCUUGUAUCCUUUAAUAUCUGACAAAGACCAAUCUGCCCACUGUGAGAAUAUUCUGUUUUUAUCAAAACUGUUAAUAUAUUAUUCUUAUUAACAAUGAUAUGGUAAGAUGCUUGAAUAUAUGCUCAUAUAGGAAGGUAUAGAAAAAUUAAAUGGCAAAAUAAAUUGUAUCUCCUGUUAGACAAGCUAAUAAUAUCAGCAUAGCUAUUAUAUCAGACUGCAGGCAAAUAUUUCUGAAAUCUUUUUAUAUAACUUUGCUUACACUAAUACAAUUCUUGGUGGAAAGUCUUAACUAAGAAGACUAAAUAAUUCAAUUUUCUAUGGUAGCUGACAUUUCAAUAUCCCGUUCCCACUUUUGAUUUGUUAGAUUUUGUAUCUUGCCUUUCUGUUGGAAGUUCAAGAUAGCAUGCAUAGAACUCUGUUGUUCAGUUUUUCCCACAACUUCAUGAGAUUGAUUUAUCCUUCCAGUGUUUUCUGAAUAUUAUCAUUUUUUAUUGCAGGUUUAUUCAUAAAAAUUGUAACAAUUUAUCUAAAAACCAUAUGUUUGUAUUUCAGACUAUUGAAAAACAAACUAUCACUUUGAAGUUCUGACCAUUUGAUAACCAAAUCUUAAUUGUUCAAAUCAAAGUGUUGUUUUAGUAGAAAUUGACAAUUAAAGUACAAAUAAGAGCAGCAGAUCAGUGUUGAAAAUGAUCCCACCUUAUCUGGUUAAUCCUUUUUACUUCAAGAUUCUAUUUUCAAAAGAACUGAUAAGGAACAAAGGAAGGAGAUAAUAAAUAGCCUUGGACAAGAUUCUACCUUUCAGCUAGCAUUUGAAUAUAAAACACUAGUAAAUUGUCAGAGAAUUAAGGUUUUACUUUUUCCUGCCUUUAACUUUCUAGGGCAGGCAGGAAUUAAGCAUAAAAUAAUUUUCCCCCACUAUCUCUCAGCAAAGAAAACAAUAUAUUUGUGCUUUGCAGAAAUUAGCCCCUACUAACAAAGAGUCUAGUUACUUAAAUAUCUCAAGUAUUGCUUGAAAAGAUGAAAUAUAUUACAUGUUUCCUAGUGAAUAGUUCUUAUAUCCUUGAAAACGGUAGGCAACACAAUUUUAAAAGUCAUAUGUACAGAGUAAUACUAUCUAAAUCCAUCGAAUUUGAACAAGCACCACUUCCCAUUUUAUUGUUCUAGAAGUAUGAAAUUUUCACUGGGUGUCUGGCUAUCUUCACAUACUAAGAUGUUGUAUGGAAUUAUUUAGGACCAGGCCUCAGCAGUAUGGAAUAACUUCACCUAGUUUCAGCUCAGUUACCUGAAUUACCUACUCAGUUACUGAAUGCCUCAAUUACCUUCUUUUUCUUCUCAGUUUUGGUCACCAUCAGAGGUGGGUUCUGGCUGCUGCUACUGCCAGUUUGCCCAGGGGCGCGCUGCGCUAUGUGCAUAUGUGCAUACUAAAACAAUGCUUCUGUGUAUGCAGAGAAGCAAAAAACAAGAUGGCGCCGAACCGGUAGGAAUCCACCUCUGGUCACCAUAAUACAAAAAAUAUGCUAUAGCCCUAGGACAGUGAUGGGCAACCUUUUUGGCGUGGUGUGUCAAAAAUCGGCAAA